rnacentral:rRNA from 1 species
GACGAACGCUGGCGGCGUGCUUAACACAUGCAAGUCGAACGGAAAGGCCCUGCUUUUGUGGGGUGCUCGAGUGGCGAACGGGUGAGUAACACGUGAGUAACCUGUCCUUGACUUUGGGAUAACUUCAGGAAACUGGGGCUAAUACCGGAUAGGAGCUCCUGCUGCAUGGUGGGGGUUGGAAAGUUUCGGCGGUUGGGGAUGGACUCGCGGCUUAUCAGCUUGUUGGUGGGGUAGUGGCUUACCAAGGCUUUGACGGGUAGCCGGCCUGAGAGGGUGACCGGCCACAUUGGGACUGAGAUACGGCCCAGACUCCUACGGGAGGCAGCAGGGGGGAAUAUUGCACAAUGGGCGGAAGCCUGAUGCAGCAACGCCGCGUGCGGGAUGACGGCCUUCGGGUUGUAAACCGCUUUCGCCUGUGACGAAGCGUGAGUGGCGGUAAUGGGUAAAGGAGCACCGGCUAACUACGU